UACGAAGGGGGCUAGCGUUGUCCGGAUUUACUGGGCGUAAAGCGCACGUAGGCGGAUCUUUAAGUCAGAGGUGAAAUCCCAAGGCUCAACCUUGGAACUGCCUUUGAUACUGGGGAUCUUGAGUCCGGGAGAGGUGAGUGGAACUGCGAGUGUAGAGGUGAAAUUCGUAGAUAUUCGCAGGAACACCAGUGGCGAAGGCGGCUUACUGGUCCAUUACUGACGCUGAGGUGCGAAAAGCGUGGGGGAGCAAACAGG
rnacentral:rRNA from 1 species